GACGAACGCUGGCGGCGUGCUUAACACAUGCAAGUCAAACGGAAAGGCCCUGCUUUUGUGGGGUGCUCGAGUGGCGAACGGGUGAGUAACACGUGAGUAACCUGCCCUUGACUUUGGGAUAACUUCAGGAAACUGGGGCUAAUACCGGAUAGGAGCUCCUGCUGCAUGGUGGGGGUUGGAAAGUUUCGGCGGUUGGGGAUGGACUCGCGGCUUAUCAGCUUGUUGGUGGGGUAGUGGCUUACCAAGGCUUUGACGGGUAGCCGGCCUGAGAGGGUGACCGGCCACAUUGGGACUGAGAUACGGCACAGACUCCUACGGGCGGCAGCAGUGGGGAAUAUUGCACAAUGGGCGGAAGCCUGAUGCAGCAACGCCGCGUGCGGGAUGACGGCCUUCGGGUUGUAAACCGCUUUCGCCUGUGACGAAGCGUGAGUGACGGUAAUGGGUAAAGAAGCACCGGCUAACUACGUG
rnacentral:rRNA from 1 species